AGUGAACGCUGGCGGUAGGCCUAACACAUGCAAGUCGAACGGCAGCACAGUAAGAGCUUGCUCUUACGGGUGGCGAGUGGCGGACGGGUGAGGAAUACAUCGGAAUCUACUUUUUCGUGGGGGGUAACGUAGGGAAACUUACGCUAAUACCGCAUACGACCUACGGGUGAAAGCAGGGGGUCUUCGGACCUUGCGCGAUUGAAUGAGCCGAUGUCGGAUUAGCUAGUUGGCGGGGUAAAGGCCCACCAAGGCGACGAUCCGUAGCUGGUCUGAGAGGAUGAUCAGCCACACUGGAACUGAGACACGGUCCAGACUCCUACGGGAGGCAGCAGUGGGGAAUAUUGGACAAUGGGCGCAAGCCUGAUCCAGCCAUACCGCGUGGGUGAAGAAGGCCUUCGGGUUGUAAAGCCCUUUUGUUGGGAAAGAAAAGCAGCAGGUUAAUACCCCGCUGUUCUGACGGUACCCAAAGAAUAAGCACCGGCUAACUUCGUG
rnacentral:rRNA from 1 species